AACCUGGUUGAUCCUGCCAGUAGUCAUAUGCUUGUCUCAAAGACUAAGCCAUGCGUGUCUAAGUAUAAAUGGUAUACAGUAAAACUGCGAAUGGCUCAUUAAAACAGUUAUAGUUUAUUUGGUAAUCGAAUUUACAUGGAUAACCGUGGUAAUCCUAGAGCUAAUACAUGCUGUAAAGCCCGACUUCUCGGAAGGGCCGUGUUUAUUAGAUAACAGACCAACAGCUUCGGCUAUUGUGGUGAAUCAUAGUAACUAAUCGGAUCGCAUGGGCUAGUCCCGCGACAAACCAUUCAAGUUUCUGCCCCAUCAGCUUUCGACGGUAGUGUAUUGGACUACCGUGGCUUUUACGGGUAACGGAGGAUUAGGGUUCGACUCCGGAGAGGGAGCCUGAGAAACGGCUACCACAUCUAAGGAAGGCAGCAGGCGCGUAAAUUACCCAAUUCUGAUUCAGAGAGGUAGUGACAAGAAAUAACGGGUUGGGACUUUGUCCCGGGACUGCAAUGAGAUGAACUUAUACCCCUUUUCGAGUAACAAUUGGAGGGCAAGUCUGGUGCCAGCAGCCGCGGUAAUUCCAG
rnacentral:rRNA from 1 species